rnacentral:rRNA from 1 species
CCUACGGGGGGCUGCAGUCGAGAAUCUUCGGCAAUGAGCGCAAGCUUGACCGAGCGACGCCGCGUGCGGGAUGAAGGCCUUCGGGUUGUAAACCGCUGUCGUAGGGGAGCAAGAGAUGAGGGUACUCCCUCAAAUUUGAGCGAUCCUAGGAGGAAGGACGGGCUAAGUUCGUGCCAGCAGCCGCGGUAAGACGAACCGUCCAAACGUUAUUCGGUAUCACUGGGCUUAAAGAGUUCGUAGGCGGCUCCGUAGGUGAGGUGUGAAAUCCCUCGGCUCAACCGAGGAAUUGCGCUUCAAACCGUGGAGCUAGAGGGAGACAGGGGUAAGCGGAACAGAUGGUGGAGCGGUGAAAUGCGUUGAUAUCAUCUGGAACACCGGUGGCGAAGGCGGCUUACUGGGUCUUUUCUGACGCUGAGGAGCGAAAGCUAGGGUAGCGAACGGGAUUAGAUACCCCGGUAGUC